AUUUUAUAGGAGUAAAAAAAAAUUUGAAAACUUGAAAAUUUGAAACUUUAAAAAAAUAUUUUGGCAAAUAUGAUUUUUUUCGAAAAAUUUGAAAAUAUAAGAAAAUAAAAAUGUAUCAAAAGCGUAAAUCAUAGGAAAACCACCACCACCAAGAUGACAAUCGCGAUAUAGUAUUCGUGUGCAUACUAUGAUUCAAUGCGAGCAGAGCUGCGGGAUAAGCUAGUGACAUAUAUUUAUUAAUUUUACGGAACGUAAUAAAUAGGGCCGUUUUUAUAAGUGGCAACGUUGUAUGCAGAUGUAAACAAAUAAAUUUAACAAAACAUAAA